UACAGAGGGUGCUAGCGUUGUUCGGAAUCAUUGGGCGUAAAGGGCGUGUAGGCGGUUUGUUAAGUCAUGUGUGAAAGCCCCCGGCUCAACCGGGGAACGACGCAUGAAACUGGCAAGCUAGAGUACCGAAGAGGGGGGUGGAAUUCCCGGUGUAGCGGUGAAAUGCGUAGAUAUUGGGAGGAACACCAGUGGCGAAGGCGGCUCACUGGACCGGAACUGACGCUGAGGCGCGAAAGCGUGGGGAGCAAACAGG
rnacentral:rRNA from 1 species